rnacentral:rRNA from 1 species
AUUGUACGCUGGCGGCACGCCUAACACAUGCAAGUCGAGCGGCAGCAUGCUUAGUAGCAAUACUAAGUGAUGGCGAGCGGCGGACGGGUGAGGAACACGUAGGAACCUGCCCAAGAGUGGGGAUAACUAAGGGAAACUUUAGCUAAUACCGCAUAAUUCUCUGAGGAGAAAAGUUGCCGUAAGGGUAGCGCUUUUGGAGGGGCCUGCGUCCGAUUAGUUAGUUGGUGAGGUAAUGGCGCACCAAGACGAUGAACGGUAACUGGUCUGAGAGGACGACCAGUCACACUGGGACUGAGACACGGCCCAGACUCCUACGGGAGGCAGCAGUGGGGAAUCUUGGACAAUGGGGGCAACCCUGAUCCAGCGAUGCCGCGUGGGUGAAGAAGGCCUUCGGGUUGUAAAGCCCUUUAGGCUGGGAAGAAGAGUAUGGGGUGAAUAACCUUGUACUUUGACGGUACCAGCAGAAUAAGCACCGGCAAACUCUGUGCCAGCAGCCGCAGUAA